GGACUAAUGCACGGCGCCUCGCCGGCGUCGGUUCUCAAACCACUGCGUAUCGAGCUCUUGUUAGUUGCCUCCCCCCCCAUUAAAGGGGGGGAGGGUCCAGCUUCUGAGAACUUUUCGUUGCCCCCCUUCCCUCGAGGGAGGGGGCCCCCCAAACCUUCCGUCGUGAUGGCAUCGUCUGACUACUAUUGAACAAAUAGAAAAUACAACUUUCAACGAUGGAUCUCUUGGCUCCGGCAUCGAUGAAGAACGCAGCGAAAUGCGAUAACUAGUGUGAAUUGCAGAUUUCAGUGAAUCAUCGAGUCUUUGAACGCACAUUGCGCCUCUUGGUAUUCCUCGAGGCAUGCCUGUUCGAGCGUCGUUUCGCCCCUCAAGCGCGAGCUUGGUGUUGGGGAUCGCCCCUGAGACACGGCGGCGGCCCUUAAAUGCAUCGGCGGUGCUGGUGCCAGCCCGGAGCGCAGCAGACAUGCGGCUUCCAGGCGGCGCGGCGCCCGCCGGACAACGAGACUUUUUUUACGUGUCGACCUCGAAUCAGGCAAGGAUACCCGCUGAACUUAAGCAUAUCAG
rnacentral:rRNA from 1 species